GCCGACACAACGACACGGAGAGGGCGGGAAAGGGGCACACGUUCGAGGAAUCUCGCGCCGUGCGAAUAUCGGAUGGCUCGCUCUACAACCAGGUGGCACUGAUAACAGCCGCACAUGACGACACGUGCGAGGAAGGUGAAAGUGGACCAGGGCGGUGCUAGGACGUGUUAGUGCCAGACGAGAAGGUGAACCUCCUGUCCCUCAUCGUCCUCACCUUCCGCCUCAUCUUCACCAAGACGCUCGCCAUCAACUGUGUCAUGACCCUGGGCAUGUGGUUCAGCGCAUCAGAGUAGCCAACGCGGCAUUCUCACCACCUUCCUGUUUUCAAACACCUAAAUGGAGGAGUAACAGCCGCAAUUAGUUUGGAUGGGUUUGUUUGUGUUUGAACUUGCAUGCUGUCUUCAUGUCAAUGAGCUACCAUAUCGAUCAUUAAAUCAAUUUG